UGUGUGCCUUUGCAUGCAGGGCAUGUGAUGCGUCAGUGCAGUAGUGUUGGAGUAGUAGUGCUUGUAGUUAGUGCAUGCUGCUUCUGCUUGCCACUCUCUGCUUACAGCUACUGCCACCGGAUAGCCCUUUGUUUUCAGGGGUGAAAAGAGGAGCCGAGUGUGUAAGCCUCCUCAGCCGGUACGUAGCCUCUCCACUGCCAAGAUCUCGUACACGCCUCCCCGUGGCACACAUGGUGACUGGUCCCUUGUGGUUCCAGGCUAAGUUGUACGGGAUCUCGGAGCAGCAGUGGGCCCCAGAGACGUGGCAUGCAGGCCCAUCGGUGCCCUGAUGCCCGUCAUCCACUUUCCCAGUUAUGGGUAAAUAGCCCCAGCUAUGGAUGGCACAGGCGGAGUCCAACUGACCGGAUCACCGGCAGCCCCCUGCAACUCCUGCCAGACAAAGGUCGUCAUGGGUUCCCUCAUGCCACUGGAGGUCCAUCUGGUAGGAGUGAAGAUGGUGGGAGUGAGGUCUGCGCACCCACACCCUCACCUUAAUCCUCACCUAUGCGCAAGCGCCCCCCCUGCUGCUGAUGGACAUUGUGCUGAAGCGAGCAGUGAGAGUGAAGUUGUAGGCUACGAAACAUAAGAAAUGACCUGGAAGUUGCUAAAAACGCUUCUUAGAACUGAACAA